rnacentral:rRNA from 1 species
UACGGAGGGUGCAAGCGUUAUCCGGAUUUACUGGGUUUAAAGGGUGCGUAGGUGGGCAGGAAAGUCAGUGGUGAAAUCUCCGGGCUUAACCCGGAAACUGCCAUUGAUACUAUUUGUCUUGAAUACUGUGGAGGUCAGCGGAAUAUGUCAGUGUAGCGGUGAAAUGCUUAGGAUAUGACAUAGAACACCAAUUGCGAAGGCAGCUGGCUACACAAAUAUUGACA